UCCAAGAACCGCAUGGUUCUUGGCUGAAAGAUGGCGUAAGCUAUCGCUUUUGGAUGGACCCGCGGCGUAUUAGCUAGUUGGUGAGGUAACGGCUCACCAAGGCAAUGAUACGUAGCCGAACUGAGAGGUUGAUCGGCCACAUUGGGACUGAGACACGGCCCAAACUCCUACGGGAGGCAGCAGUAGGGAAUCUUCCACAAUGGACGCAAGUCUGAUGGAGCAACGCCGCGUGAGUGAAGAAGGCUUUCGGGUCGUAAAACUCUGUUGUUGGAGAAGAAUGGUCGGCAGAGUAACUGUUGUCGGCGUGACGGUAUCCAACCAGAAAGCCACGGCUAACUACGUGCCAGCAGCCGCGGUAAUACGUAGGUGGCAAGCGUUAUCCGGAUUUAUUGGGCGUAAAGCGAGCGCAGGCGGUUUUUUAAGUCUGAUGUGAAAGCCCUCGGCUUAACCGAGGAAGUGCAUCGGAAACUGGGAAACUUGAGUGCAGAAGAGGACAGUGGAACUCCAUGUGUAGCGGUGAAAUGCGUAGAUAUAUGGAAGAACACCAGUGGCGAAGGCGGCUGUCUGGUCUGUAACUGACGCUGAGGCUCGAAAGCAUGGGUAGCGAACAGGAUUAGAUACCCUGGUAGUCCAUGCCGUAAACGAUGAAUGCUAGGUGUUGGAGGGUUUCCGCCCUUCAGUGCCGCAGCUAACGCAUUAAGCAUUCCGCCUGGGGAGUACGACCGCAAGGUUGAAACUCAAAGGAAUUGACGGGGGCCCGCACAAGCGGUGGAGCAUGUGGUUUAAUUCGAAGCAACGCGAAGAACCUUACCAGGUCUUGACAUCUUUUGAUCACCUGAGAGAUCAGGUUUCCCCUUCGGGGGCAAAAUGACAGGUGGUGCAUGGUUGUCGUCAGCUCGUGUCGUGAGAUGUUGGGUUAAGUCCCGCAACGAGCGCAACCCUUAUGACUAGUUGCCAGCAUUUAGUUGGGCACUCUAGUAAGACUGCCGGUGACAAACCGGAGGAAGGUGGGGAUGACGUCAAAUCAUCAUGCCCCUUAUGACCUGGGCUACACACGUGCUACAAUGGAUGGUACAACGAGUUGCGAGACCGCGAGGUCAAGCUAAUCUCUUAAAGCCAUUCUCAGUUCGG
rnacentral:rRNA from 1 species